rnacentral:lncRNA from 1 species
CUCAAAUAAAAAGAUUUAUCGUCUGUCAUUUACAAAUUGCUUUGCGCUAGCCAAGACUUUGUUUUUAAUUUAUCUCUCGAAGAAUAAUGACGUUUUUUGUCAUCUAUCUCAAUAUAUUAAACCUGAUCAGUAAUAUGAUUGUCAUGAAGGAAGGACCAUAACUACAAGGUAGUCAUGAUUUAUAAAGAAAAAUAAGUAAUUUCGUGCUCGUGAUCCUUUUGCAAAAUAAUCUGCUCAGAAAUUUAUGUUACGUGAGAUUAAACAAAGACUGAAACAUCAAAAAUGAUCUUGUAUAAACUCCUACGUUACUUCUUGAUCUUGUAUGGCUGUUUCGAUAUAUUGUUACACUCUAACACUCUUUGAUGGAAUUUUCGGGGGAAGGAGUGGGAACAACAUUAUCCACGUUCUAUGAAGAUACAACUGUGUACGAAGUAGACUACUGUACUUAUGUUGAACUGAGAAGAGAGGUCUCAAGUACAAAAGCAAUUGAGUUAUGGUCAAGCUGGAAUCAGGUUUAGUCAUGAUCAUGUCAUAAGCCGAACACCGGUUUGGUCAGCUGUCUUCAGUUCUUCAUAUGUUUCUGUACUAUUUGGUUUGUAUUUGAGUUGCUUUUGUAUGAAUUAUAUAUGAAAUAUGUUUUCAAAGUUUGAUUCAAUCAAAUAAGAUUUUAUAUUUCUGCCAACAAAAGAACAUUAAUAGAGAACAAGGAUUAUCAUUACAUAACAAUGUAUGUAAUUAAGAGUGUUGCUUGUGAAGCACAUCUGAAAACAAAGCUAGUUAGAGUCUGCGUCAAUUAGACCUAAACACACACAUGCAGUGGGAAAUAAUAGAAACAACAACAGUCUUAAGAACUUCGAACUGAAUCAUCAACUUGAUCAAACAUGUCAGCCGGGAAAUCUUCAUCCUUUGAAACAUGUCUGCAUCUAAGUUCCGAUGAAUACCGACAAUUGCCCUAUAUAACCAUUCGUCGGUAUUUCGUAGGAAUAUUCAGACCACUUUCCGACAAAGCAGCGGUCAUCGGAAAUUUGCGAUGCAGUCCGACGAAAUAGCGAGGGAAAUAUAUAACCAUUAUGCGACCAUUUUAAAUGGUUUGAAUUGUUAACCAUCAUGGGAAAAUCGUCGGAAGUUCCGACUCAUUUUCGACGAAACUUUUGACUGUUGCUAAUAUUAAAGAAAAAAAAAAAAUUUCGACGACCGUUCCUUAAAUUUCCGACGAAAUUCCAACGAAAUAUAUGACUGUUUUACAGCCGUUUUAUGCUUUGAUACGUCUGAUGGAAUUCCAACGAAAAUUAAUUUAUUCCGUCAAAAUAUCAUCAAGAAUCUGUCGGUAACUUUCUUUUAUAAAUACGAGCUCCUCUCAUUCACUUCAUUCACUCUUCAUUCUCUCCUCACUCUCUUCACUCACUACAAAUCCAUAAAAAAUCAUGUCUUCUGGAAAUUAUUUUCGUUCGUGGAUGGAUUAACCUCAUUUGGAUCCAAACACCAAUUUGCUUACAGAAAAAUACGUAGAAGGUUUUGGCGAAUUCAUGAAGCGUUUUCAACAACAACCGGAAGCAAAUCUCGGUAUAAUAAGAUGUCUCUCAUCUUCCUGCAAUAAUAGUAGGGUUUUAAAAGAAUGAGAUAUUUGAACUCAUUUAUAUAUGAAAGGGUUUAUACGAAAUUAGAAGAUUUGGUAUCUUCACAGGAAAACGGUUAUGAAUAUGGUAAUAUUGCCUCGACAUGUUAAUAGGUUAGAAGAACCAAAUACAUAUGUAGAUUAUGGCGUAGAUACUGAGCAUAUGGUAAAUGAUCAUUAUAGAAGGGAAGAACUAAAUGCAGAAUCUGAAUGUAGAAAAACAAUUUUUGUAUAAAUGUUGUAAAGAUGGUCAUUCAACUUUAUCAUCUUCAACAAGAUUAAUAGAUACUAAGACAGAUUAUAAUUUGACUGAAGUAAUCACGGCCAGCUGCUAACGUUUUGUAAUUUAAAAAUCUAAUUCUAUGAUUUAAAUAUAUAUUAAAAAUAUUAAUAAUAUUUGAUGAAACACAUGUUUUAAUUCUUUACGUCAUGUGUACUAUAUAUACUUCCAACGUGCACGCCACCAACCACUAUCAGAGCAACAAUGGAGUCGUCUGCUGAUUUGAACACCACCGAUGGCUGCCAAAACAUCUUGAUGCUGCGUCACGGUGAUCGCAUUGACAAGAUCAACCCACUCUGGCCCGAUACAGCUUCGAGACCUUGGGACCCUCCUCUCGUUCAGGACGGUUUGGUUCGUGCGUUUCAAACUGGUCAGCGGAUCCGGUCUCAGAUCCAGUUUCCGAUCCACAGGGUCUUCGUCUCUCCCUUCAUCCGUUGCGUUCAGACUGCUUCAGAACUUAUCGCCGCUCUCUCUGCCGUUGACUUAAACCCUAACGCUACGUCGUCUAAAGACGUUCUUUCCAUCGAUAAAUCUAAGCUCAAGGUCAAGAUUUUAAUCAUUUCCAGUCUAUAAGUCUUGAACUAUGACUGUCUUCAGGGAAUGUCAUGAACAUAGACAACGGUCUGUGGUCCCCAGAUUUUAGGAAUAAUUUACAUAGACAUAAUUUUUUAUACUAAAUUUCAUAUAGCCCUCAAAAUCUCAGGACCGGUCUUAAUAACGGUUGUGAUGUAUGUAAUGGUAUAAACUAGUUAAGGUGGUUGGUUCUUGUCUGCUUCAGGUGUCUAUCGAGUUUGGUUUGAGUGAGAUGCUGAACAGUAUGGCUAUUAGGCCUAAGGUUGCUCCAAAAGAUGGAAAAUUCGAUUUUAAGAUUUCAGAUCUUGAAGCUAUGUUUCCUGAGGGAAUGGUGGAUCAUGACGUAGACCCUGUUUAUAAAGAGGUAAUCAAUCUCUCUAGACCUAGUCUUUGUUCUGUUUCUGUAUGUUGUUUUCUUGGAAGCAAUUUGAGUUAUAAACUUGAUGAUCUUCUUCUGAGUGUGUCAUGAUGGUUUUGUUCAGAUGCCACAAUGGGAAGAGACUGUGGAAGAAUGCACAGAACGGUUUCUUAGUUUGGUGAAGACUCUUGCUGAUAAGUACCCUUCAGAGAACUUGCUCUUAGUCACUCACGGUAAGCAAGACAUUCUUGGUUAUGUGGAUCUUGUACACUCACACUAUUGACUUGAUUAGUAAAAAAAUUCUGCUUCUCUAGAAAGAAAAUCUUUUUCUUUUCUUUCUUUUUUCUCUCAAGGUUUCAGUAUUCAGCAGCAAAAAAUCUUUGAUAAUCUCUUUCGUUAAUCGAAUGUUCAAAUGUGUGACUUGUAAGAACCUCUAUGUGCAGGGGAAGGAGUAAGGACUACAUUUGCAACCUAUAAAGACGUAGCUGUGUACGAGGUAGAGUAUUGUGCUUGUGCUGAACUGAGAAGACAGGUCUUGAGUCAAGAAGAGUCUACUAAAGCUGGAGACUUUGAAGUGAUCGGUCAAGCUGGAAUCAAGUACCAUUGCUUGAAAACCACAGCAGUACCAUGUGUGAAGUGGUAUUGAGUCAUGGUCAAGGUAGAGUAUUGUGCUUGUGCUGUACUAUUUGGUUGUAUUUGAGUUGCUUUUGUAUGAAUUAUGAAAUAAAUUUUUAAAGUUUGAUUCAGUCAAAUAAGAUAUUACAUUUCUUCUGCCAACAAAAGAACAUUAACAGAGAAACAAGGAUUGUCAUUACAUAUCAAAGUAGUUAAGAGUGUUGCUUGUGAAGCACAUCUAAAAACAAAGCUAGUUAGAGUCUGCGUUAAAUUAGACCUAAACACACACAUGCAGGGGGAAGCAAUCUAAUAGAAACAAACAACAACAACAACAACAAUCUAAGGACUCUGAUUUGGAUCGUCAACUUGAUCAAACAUGUCAGCCGGGAAAUCAUCUAAGAAAACAUCAGCUUCUUCUUCAUCAUCAUCCUUUGAAACAUGUCUACAUCUUCUCUCUGCAGGAGGCAGCUCAAAAAACGGCUGAGGGAGAGCGAACAACGGCUCAGAACAACCAGCCGGUCCGAGGAUAUCGUAGUAAUAAGGAUUGUCGAGUCUAGCCAAAAGCUCUCUGCUUUCUGGAUAGAAAGGGAUGGUCGCUUGCUGAUUAGCAAUAUGCGGCUCAGACAUGAGAGGAUCAUCAGUCCAAAAAGCGAAUGGCUGAUGUUCUAACUUGAUACCCAAUUCAGGCAACCUCAAAGCUUCAUCAACUUGGUCUGAUGAUGAGUAAGGAAGAAUCUUGGAAGAUGAAGAAGAAGCUGUAGUCACCUCUUCCUCAACCAAACCAAAACUCUGAAAGUGAAACACACACAAACUGAAAAAUCCUUUAUAAUAAUAAUUAAAAAUGUAUAUAUUUUAUCAUUUAGAAACAUAAUAUACCUGAGGGGGAUAGAAGUAUUGGAUUGGUUUAACGAAGUCAACAUUUUAAAAUAUAUUAAUAAAAAUAAUACAUUUAACGUUUUUUAUAUGGGGUUUUCGCAAAUAAGACUCAAAACUUGAAUUUAAACACAAAACUAACUCAUGCUUUUUUUUUAACUUUGAUUUGCCUCUUUCAUCCCAAAAGCUCAGAUUAUUCACGAAAAUGCCAUCACUUUUUCACUCUGGCUGAUAAGUACCCUUCAGAGAACUUGCUCUUAGUCACUCACGGUAAGCAAGGCAUUCUUGGUUCUGUUAUUGUACUGUACACACACACCUUUUGACUUUAUUAGUUUUAAAUCUCUGCUUUGCUUCUCUUUUUGUUACUAAGAUUUCAGUGUCCAUGUAGCAAAGCUGUUCUGUGGUUGCACUAGAGCAAAAAGUCUAUGAUAAUUAAUCGGUUUAUGUUCAAUCUCUCUGUGCAGGGGAAGGAGUAAGGACUACAUUUGCAACCUAUAAAAAAGUAGAUACGUACGACGUAGAGUACUGUGCGUGUGCUGAACUGAGAAGAAAGGUCUCGAGUCAAGACGGGUCUACUAAAGCUGGAGGCUUUGAGGUGAUGACAAGUCUUGGUGAAGUUGGAAUCAAGUACCAUUCCUUGACCACCACAGCAGACAAAUGAUCAUGUUCCCAACUCUCGAGUUGUGUCAGUGUCUCCAGAAGAUCAUCACGACAUUGGAAAACCGAAAUUAAACUAGAUACUGGAUAUUAAGAACGAGUGAUUCUAAACUCAAAUAAAAAGAUUUAUCGUCUGUCAUUUACAAAUUGCUUUGCGCUAGCCAAGACUUUGUUUUUAAUUUAUCUCUCGAAGAAUAAUGACGUUUUUUGUCAUCUAUCUCAAUAUAUUAAACCUGAUCAGUAAUAUGAUUGUCAUGAAGGAAGGACCAUAACUACAAGGUAGUCAUGAUUUAUAAAGAAAAAUAAGUAAUUUCG